rnacentral:rRNA from 1 species
UACGAAGGUGGCUAGCGUUGUUCGGAAUUACUGGGCGUCAAGCGCACGUGGGCGGAUUAGUAAGUCAGGGGUGAAAUCCCGGGGCUCAACCUCGGAACUGCCUUUGAUACUGCUGAUCUCGAGUCCGGAAGAGGUGAGUGGAAUUCCUAGUGUAGAGGUGAAAUUCGUAGAUAUUAGGAAGAACACCAGUGGCGAAGGCGGCUCACUGGUCCGGUACUGACGCUGAGGUGCGAAAGCGUGGGGAGCAAACAGG